CCUACGGGAGGCAGCAGUCGAGAAUCAUUCACAAUGGGGGAAACCCUGAUGGUGCGACGCCGCGUGGGGGAAUGAAGGUCUUCGGAUUGUAAACCCCUGUCAUGUGGGAGCAAAUUAAAAAGAUAGUACCACAAGAGGAAGAGACGGCUAACUCUGUGCCAGCAGCCGCGGUAAUACAGAGGUCUCAAGCGUUGUUCGGAAUCACUGGGCGUAAGGCGUGCGUAGGCUGUUUCGUAAGGCGUGUGUGAAAGGCGCGGGCUCAACCCGCGGACGGCACAUGAUACUGCGAGACUAGAGUAAUGGAGGGGGAACCGGAAUUCUCGGUGUAGCAGUGAAAUGCGUAGAUAUCGAGAGGAACACUCGUGGCGAAGGCGGGUUCCUGGACAUUAACUGACGCUGAGGCACGAAGGCCAGGGGAGCGAAAGGGAUUAGAUACCCCAGUAGUC
rnacentral:rRNA from 1 species